GUGCUCAUUUCAGCAGCACAUAUACUAAAAUUAGAACAAUACAGAGAAGAUUAGCAUGGCCUCUGCACAAGGAUGACGUGCAAAUUUGUGAAGCAUUCUACAUUUUU